rnacentral:rRNA from 1 species
GACGAACGCUGGCGGCGUGCUUAACACAUGCAAGUCGAACGGAAGGGCCCUGCUUUUGUGGGGUGCUCGAGUGGCGAACGGGUGAGUAACACGUGAGUAACCUGCCCUUGACUUUGGGAUAACUUCAGGAAACUGGGGCUAAUACCGGAUAGGAGCUCCUGCUGCAUGGUGGGGGUUGGAAAGUUUCGGCGGUUGGGGAUGGACUCGCGGCUUAUCAGCUUGUUGGUGGGGUAGUGGCUUACCAAGGCUUUGACGGGUAGCCGGCCUGAGAGGGUGACCGGCCACAUUGGGACUGAGAUACGGCCCAGACUCCUACGGGAGGCAGCAGUGGGGAAUAUUGCACAAUGGGCGGAAGCCUGAUGCAGCAACGCCGCGUGCGGGAUGACGGCCUUCGGGUUGUAAACCGCUUUCGCCUGUGACGAAGCGUGAGUGGCGGUAAUGGGUAAAGAAGCACCGGCUAACUACGU